AUAAUGGGUCAGCGACUUAUAUUCUGUAGCAAGGUUAACCGAAUAGGGGAGCCGAAGGGAAACCGAGUCUUAACUGGGCGUUAAGUUGCAGGGUAUAGACCCGAAACCCGGUGAUCUAGCCAUGGGCAGGUUGAAGGUUGGGUAACACUAACUGGAGGACCGAACCGACUAAUGUUGAAAAAUUAGCGGAUGACUUGUGGCUGGGGGUGAAAGGCCAAUCAAACCGGGAGAUAGCUGGUUCUCCCCGAAAGCUAUUUAGGUAGCGCCUCGUGAAUUCAUCUCCGGGGGUAGAGCACUGUUUCGGCAAGGGGGUCAUCCCGACUUACCAACCCGAUGCAAACUGCGAAUACCGGAGAAUGUUAUCACGGGAGACACACGGCGGGUGCUAACGUCCGUCGUGAAGAGGGAAACAACCCAGACCGCCAGCUAAGGUCCCAAAGUCAUGGUUAAGUGGGAAACGAUGUGGGAAGGCCCAGACAGCCAGGAUGUUGGCUUAGAAGCAGCCAUCAUUUAAAGAAAGCGUAAUAGCUCACUGGUCGAGUCGGCCUGCGCGGAAGAUGUAACGGGGCUAAACCAUGCACCGAAGCUGCGGCAGCGACGCUUAUGCGUUGUUGGGUAGGGGAGCGUUCUGUAAGCCUGCGAAGGUGUGCUGUGAGGCAUGCUGGAGGUAUCAGAAGUGCGAAUGCUGACAUAAGUAACGAUAAAGCGGGUGAAAAGCCCGCUCGCCGGAAGACCAAGGGUUCCUGUCCAACGUUAAUCGGGGCAGGGUGAGUCGACCCCUAAGGCGAGGCCGAAAGGCGUAGUCGAUGGGAAACAGGUUAAUAUUCCUGUACUUGGUGUUACUGCGAAGGGGGGACGGAGAAGGCUAUGUUGGCCGGGCGACGGUUGUCCCGGUUUAAGCGUGUAGGCUGGUUUUCCAGGCAAAUCCGGAAAAUCAAGGCUGAGGCGUGAUGACGAGGCACUACGGUGCUGAAGCAACAAAUGCCCUGCUUCCAGGAAAAGCCUCUAAGCAUCAGGUAACAUCAAAUCGUACCCCAAACCGACACAGGUGGUCAGGUAGAGAAUACCAAGGCGCUUGAGAGAACUCGGGUGAAGGAACUAGGCAAAAUGGUGCCGUAACUUCGGGAGAAGGCACGCUGAUAUGUAGGUGAAGCGACUUGCUCGUGGAGCUGAAAUCAGUCGAAGAUACCAGCUGGCUGCAACUGUUUAUUAAAAACACAGCACUGUGCAAACACGAAAGUGGACGUAUACGGUGUGACGCCUGCCCGGUGCCGGAAGGUUAAUUGAUGGGGUUAGCGCAAGCGA
rnacentral:rRNA from 1 species